UCCGGCCACCAGACGCGUACAGAGCCGAGCCCCACAUCGACAUGCGGCGGGCACCUCUGCACGACAGGGAGUGCCACCUCAGCAUGGGGUGCGUGCUACGCGCGCAACGAGAAUAACGAGGGCCCAAAGCGAAAUGGUGAGGGCCUUGACUGAGAGGAACAACUGGAAAAAGUUCCGGGAGUACUCUCAGGCCGAGGUUUUACGUAUUUGUUCCGAUUUCGGAAUAACUACACUGGCGCUCAAAAACUGCAUCUCUUCUCUACACAGGCGAAAAAGAAAAGCUGCCAUAGCAGCAAUAGAUCAACACUAGGGUUUUCGUUUUAGUUUUUUUUCUCAGUUCCUAGGUUUAAAGGGAACUAGAGUUUGUCGUGUAAUAGAUGCAUUGUAUGUACUGAGAUGUAUACAUCUCUGAUUUACAAUCCGUCUUUUUUUCUAUUCAAGUAAGAGCUUAGGGUCUUAACUUAUUCAUUCAACUGAAAUUAGAUCUUGUCGUUUAUAUCGUUGGAAAAGUUGCAGAAUCCGUUGCAAACGGACAUUAACUAAGGUAGGACUAAACGGAAAGUACUUGUUGAGUAGUUAUCCUACGAACUCUCUAACUCCUAUAAACGGCAAGGCCGUUAGUUUCUUGCCAUUUAAGGUAAUAACUAAAUUGAUUGAAUAUUUGCAGACAAAAUUUUAGUGUCUUUUAACUCCGACGAAACCCAUUAUUUCUUUGUGCAUAUGUCGAACUCUGAAUAAAACCCUAUUUUAGCUUUGCUGAUAGGGCAACAGUAAAUUUAAGCUUCGAGACAACACGCAUAAAAGGUUGGUAUUUAUAAGUUUCUGCCGCUUUUUAAUACACUGCUUAUUCGUGUGCUUACCGUUACAUUAACCGUACAAGAUUUUUUCGGGAUUUUCUUCGACAUAACUCAUCAGUAAGUUAUUAUGUUUUAUUUUCUAAAAGUAAUUGUCUCUAGGCAGUCAUUAAUGUAGUGUACGGAAAUUGACGAGGCGACUCUAAAUGACCGGAAAAUGUGUAACAAUUAAUCAGUUAGCUAAGAUCUAAGACCGCAUAAUUUAUAACCUUUUCCCCAUGCAUGCAAUCAUAUAACACGGAAGAUAAGGCACCUUACGACUGUAAUUGUAAUAAUGAAAUUCAUUUAUAUAAGUUAAUCUAAAACUGGGAAUAAAAGAUAGAACGAAAAGAAAGCAGACCUGCACAAACGGGAGCAGUACCAAAUUAAGAACUUCAUCGGGAGCUCGCCUAAAGCAUCUGGCUCAAGAAGCUGUACAAAAUUACGUAACAAAAUCUCGUAGAUAUGAAAGAGCAGAUAUAGAAACCGAUAGAAGUAUGACGACUAAGGUUAAAUUAACUUUUAAUUGGAUAAGAGUACGAAGGGUCAAUUAGCAUAUUUACGGCAACUGCACAAUCAACAAAAAUUUAAUCGUGUUGAGAAGAUUAAAAAAUCUUGGUAUGAGCAAAUUGAUCGGAUGCAAAGGCGAUUAAAAAUUAAAUUUGUAUCCCUGUUCGUUUCAUAUAAAAAUCAUCGAUAGAUUUCAAUUUAAGCUCUCCCUUCGUUAUAGAUAGUUCCAGCCAACAAAAUCUAAAUAUAGAUACGACAAGAUCGCCAACAUAGAAAUUUCGGGAAAAAAAAAAUAUCCGACGUACCUGAUACGAUUUUUCAACUCGAGUUCAAAUAAAAAUACGCCUAAUUCAAUGAUAUUUUAGUUUCUAUCUCCACGUGUAUGAACUGAAGUUCCGGUGUAAGAAUUAAGUUUAUCUAACUUUUUCAUUUGAAGCCAAAUAAUUACGAGUUGCAUAAAAAACCGAACUUUCGUCGAUCCAGCAACAUGUUCCUCCUAAAUUCGAUUCCAGUUCUUAACUAGGCUUUAUACAAGACUGUUAUAGGUGAGCAUAAUUUGCCAUAAUAAUAAUAAAAACCUCAAUCAAACACAAAGAAAACCAUCAAUAUUUUCAUUUUUAUUUUCCUUUUUCAUACAAACAUAAUUAAGUAUAUAUAUUAAUAAUAAAUAAAUUAUAAGGAAAAGGAAAUACAAAAGGAAAAGGAAAGAGAAAAUUACUUUUGGGGAAGGAAAUUGUUCUUGGAGAGGCAGGACUGAAUAUUGCAAGCUUGUUUCUUACAUGGCUCUUUACUCGGCUGCCCCAUUUUACCAAACCCUAAUCCUCUUUGCUCGGGUUUUGAUCGUCGCCAUUUGGAUAUCUUGGGCUUCUCAUUCCACUGGGCGGAGACGACUUGCAAAUUCCCGCACUCUCCACCACACACACGAGAAUCCUUAGCAACCAUCAUCAUGCGAUAGGAGCUUGUCUUUUCUGGAAAAGCAGCAUCCACAUUAAUCUUGAUCGUCCCCAUGGUGAAGGUUUCCAAACCGUUUCCUAGAGCUCAAAUGUCUACUCCCCAUGCAAUAUUUGGUUACGACGAUCUCCGUCAGCAUACAACCACUGCCACCAAGAACGAUGCAACGGAAGUCGAAAUCCUAGUCAUGUACAAGAAGUGUAUGCACAACCACGCAGCCUCCUACAUACUCCAAGUCGUGUAAUAAGAGGGCACGAAAUAUAGAUAAUCCCACAUGCCCAACUCUACAUUUAAUAUUUUUUAAUUUCAUGAUUCAAAGUUUUUGUGUUCAUUCCAUAUUCCUUAAAUUGAUUGAAUUUAGAUUUAACAAAUAGCCAAACAAUAGUUUGUUUUACAAACUUAUAUAUCAAUGUCAUAUACAAUGCACAAAUUCUGCACUAAUGAACUUGGGCACAAAAUUAGCACUAAUGAACUUGGCACAAUUCCUGCACUAAAGAAAAAAAAAAGACAGUCUUAAAUGAAUUACACAUAUUCUUAUUCCUUGACAAAUAAACCGAUCAAAUGCCAUUUUUCUUACAAGAACCAAAUAUACUGAAGGGGGCAACUAUUUUGAAUACUAAUUUUUGCUUAGUUGAAUACUACCUAGUUGAAAACCACAAUUGAGUACAUAUUUAUAAGUUUUUUCUUACUUUAAUACCAAAAUAAAAAUAAAAGUACAAAAAUACCCUUUCAUACAAAAUACUAAUUACAUCAAUUUUUCUUUGAAAUUACCUACUUGAAAACCAAAUAAAAAAAAAAAGAAAAAAGAAAUUCAAACACAAAAAACCUCCCUCCGUCCACGCCGCCCGCCGCCGCCGCUCCAACCAUCGCCGCCGCCGGACGCCGACGCCAAACACCGCCGAACGCCGCCCAACGCCGCCCAACGUCGCCCAAAGCCGCCGCCGUCGUCGUCUUCGAAUAGUAAGUUAUAGUUGUUUCGAUUUUUUUUUCUUUAAUAUUUAUUUAAGAUUUGAUUGUUUGAUAUGGGUAAUUAGGAUUUGGUUGUUUUAGGUUAGAAUGAUCGUUAAUUAGUAAUGAGUGCAUCUGAUUUCAGUCGAUUUGAGCAUUGAUUUGAGAUUCGUGGGUCGGUUCUUCGUUCACCAUUUUCGACCUGUAUAUGUCGAUUUUCGAUGAAUUUUCGACAGGUUGAUGUCGAAAAUUCAUCCAAAAUCGACAUGUAGAUGUCGAAAAUGGUGAAAUUGUUGUAUCAGUUCAAAUUCGACAGCUAGCUGUCGAAUUUGAACUGUGAAUUUUUUUUUUUUUUUUUUUUUUUUUUUCGACACUUAAGGGUAUUUUCGACACAUACACGUCGAAAAAUAAGGGUAUUUUCGACCUGUAUGUGUCGAAAAUACAUGGCGAGUUUUAAAAAAAAAAAAAUUUCAAAAUCAAUGUUUUAGCUCAAAAAAUACAUGAAUACAUACUUGAAUGGGUUCUCCUUGCUCGUAAACUACUAUUCUAUUGUCAUUUGAGGCCAUUUUGCAAGUUGUGUAAGGUUUUGAUUUCUUUUGUUUUGGGGUUUUUUAGGAGGGUUUUUGGGGAGGGAGAAGAAGGAGGUGGAGGAGGUGAGGGGUUUGGGAGUGAGGAGAGAAAUGUUUUUUUUAGGUUUUUUAUUAUUUGGUUUUUAAGAAAGAAAAAUAGUAUUUGUAAUAUUUUUUUGGUUUUAAUUUUCAUUAAGGGUAUUAAAGUAAUUUACAAUUAAUUAUUUAAUUUCUAUUUUUUUGGUAUUCAACUAAGCAAAAGUUAGUAUUCAAAAUAGUUGUCCCCUAUACUGAAAGCUCGCUAAAAAGGAAGUUUAAUUUCUAGAGCUCGCUCAAAUGUUUCAUCAUAAAGAAAUCUAAAAGCACGAUCAAUUGCACGUAAAAAUUGAAUUGCGCUCUCAACACUCAUUUCACUGUCAAUAUAAACUCACCACUCCAUCUCAUUUCAUUUCACUCACCAUCUAAAAUACACAUUAUGCAGUAAAAAAAAAAACAUUCUUGAAAGAGUGCAUGUUGCACAACCAUGCAGCCUCCAAUGGAGGAUCCCGCGAGGCCAUGCUCUGUGCCGCCUGCGCGGGGGCUGCGACUACAAAGAGAAUAACGAGGGCCCAAAGCGAAAUGGUGAGGGCCUUGACUGAGAGGAACGACUGGAAAAUGUUCCGGGAGUACUCUCAGCCUGAGGUUUUAUGUAUUUGUUCCGAUUGCGGAAUAACUACACUGGCGCUCAAAAACUGCAUCUCUCUACACAGACGAAAAAGAAAAGCUGCAAUAGAUCAACACUAGGGUUUUCAUUUUAGUUUUUCUUUUAGUUCAUAGGUUUAAAGAGAACUAGUGUUUGUUGUAAUAGAUGUGUUGUAUGUACUGAGAUGAUACCUCUCUUCAUUUUCCUUGUCCAAAAUUCAACUAUACUAAUUAAAUUAUGAUAGAGCGAGCCGGCACUGCACUUAUAUUGCUCAUAUAACUAAAAACGAAUUUCUUCAAACCAUUCUAAUACACUAUUAUAAUUUAGUCUUUAAAAUCAAAAAAAAAAAAUCAUUUAGGCCAAACAUCUCUAGCAUGUGAACCUAAGAAGUUGUUGGUUAUAGAAACAAAAUACAUACCGAUAAAUAAAAAAAAAAAAAAAAAAAAAAAAAAGAGACCAAAUAAAAUAACUUCAAUAGCUCCAAACUCACACCAAAAAUGCACAUAACAAGAUAUACUAUAUGCACAAAUUCUGCACCGAUCAUAAAAUACAAUUUUUUUCAGCUACUCUUGCUCAACUUUUAUGAGAAGACCAAGAAAUGAAUUGCGCAAAAAGUGGUAAAAAAAAUGCACUAACCUUGUCAUACGAACCUAACUCAUUCCCUUUCGUUAUCAUCUUCUUCUGCUCUUGAAAUGACUACCAAUAACGUACAACAAUAACCAAAGAAAGUUCUCCUGCACGUAAGAAGAGGAUAACGAGGGCAUAAAGUAAAACGGUGAGGGCUCUGUCUGAGAGGAACGACCGGAAGAUGUUCCGGGAGUACUCUCAGGCGGAAGUUUUACGUAUUUGUUCCGAUUUCGGAAUAACUAAACUGGCGCUAAAAAAUUGCACUCUCAACACAGGCGAAAAAGAACAGCUGCAAUAGAUCAACAAUAGGGUUUUCGGGGUUUUUUUUCUUUGUUUUUUUUCAGUUCCUAGGUUUAAAGGGAAGCUAGCGAAAUUAAGAUAGAGCGGGCAGUGCACUAAUAUUGCACAUUGCGCUAAUAUUGCACAGUAUAACUAAAAACAUAUUACUUCUACCAUUAUUACAAUUCCGUCUUGGGACUAUUCACAAUCAAGAAACGAAAUCAUUCGUACCAAACACCACUAUCUAGCAGCUUGUUAACCUAGACAGACUACAAGUGUUGUACAAGCAAAAUAUGACGAUCACUACCAAUUAAAAACUAAUUCAAAUUAUCUUGGUUACUCUGUUUGGAGUUAAUAUUAUCACAGCUUCGUUCACCUAGAAUUCCCAAAUCGAACUUCCAAUUUAUUUACUCUCGACAUUUCUAUUUACGCAGCCACAUGCUAGGUUAUUCUAUAUCAGUAUCUCUAACAGAGGAGUUACCAAAAUCAUACGCCAAUGAAUCAUUUCCUAAGAUUGUUUAUUCACAAAUAAUAAGUUAAUCUUACAACAUAACCAAUCUAACAAAGUCGGGAGAAUAUCAAGAAGACGUACCGAUAGAUCAUCAAAUUCGUUCAAGAAAAGGCAAACGUGUGGUAAUUUUUACUACGGAAUUUCUUGUUGCUAGCUGCUUCAAAGGAUUUGAUGUAGGCAUGAUUUGAAUGCUAAGAAGAUAAAGGCAAGCACUGGAAAACCUAGAAUAAGUAAUAGUUACUACAAUACGAACUAAUAAAUGUUUGCAUGUAUGUACGUUUAUCUAUAUUAGCGAAUCAGAUUUCGAGAUAUUCAUGCUUUAGAGACGUACCCGAGUUAUUUCUACAUUCCUCACUUCCUUGUACAUCCUUUAUCAUUCUCAUCAACAAUGCCAAAAACCAAUUAUUCAUUGGUAUCGACUUUGAAUAUCUGCAUAUCGUAAAUCAUAUAUUUACACCAAAUGAAUGAGAAAAUUCAAAUAUACAAUCUUAGUAUGUUUAGUACAGAGGAUCAAGAACUUACUUAUCUUACAUUCUGCCAACAGCUGUAAAAUGAAAUAUUGUUAAACGAGGCAAAAAGACAGUUAAAUAGAACAAAAGGUGAAACGAAAAUGGAUAUUAUAUUAUAAAUGUAAUAGUUAGCAAAAAAGAAAAAAAAAUUGAAAAUUAAAAAUCGAAUCGAUAAUUGGAAUCUCGUAUAUAAUCCAAUUCCUACAAAAACAAAUACAAAUUUUGCAAACAAAAAAAAUCAAAAUGAAAAAUAUUGUUCUAAAAUAAAAAUAUUAAAAUUUAAUAUACGUGGAUCGAAUUAGAGGAAAAUUUAAAAGUUCGUUAUAAUCUUCAUCCUCAUUUAAACAUCUCUUUAACUACUAUAAUUGUAUUGCUCAAAAAAACAUUAUUCUUAAUUGCAAUAAGGUUCGGAAGUUAAGAACGGUCGGAGUUAUUCAAAGAUGACGGAUUUUUUCGACCGAUAACAUGUUGCAUUUAUUUAUUUGUUUCCAAUCUUUAAGGUUAAACUAAAUAGUAAUUAAUACGUAUAAUCAAUGAUGAUGCUUAACGGAUUUACGAUUUACACUAGCCAAAACCACGUGGCUGCGUGUCCCUAGUGAUCAUGAGAGCUUUUCGACAUAAAUGGUAAAUUUAACGAACAACGUAAAUACCGACCAACGGUUUAUAGUUUAGGCGGCAAAAUAUUAUUUACCCUAAUAAGGGUUUGUCAUUCCAACGGUCAUUUAUUUCUUGUUUUCACGAUAACGAACAAUAUCUUAAUCAGUCGACAUUUACCUACAAAUAUUUACAAUAAGAAGUAAAAAAAUGAGUAAAAUUGCAUGAGAAAACAUUUACCCACAAAUAUUAUAUUUGACUGUUAUUAAGUCAAAAUCAUAGAUUACUGACUUACUGUAAUACAAAAUGUUAUAAUGUUUUCAUGAUUGUGACGUCAUAAUUAAAUGAAAUUAAUAAAAUCUGAUCCUGUAAAGUUAUUUUUGACUGCAAAAUCAAUAUUUAUGCCUUACUAUUCAUAACUCAAAAUCUGAGUCUUAAAUAUGAUUUUAAAUUAUAAAAUAUAUUCGUUUGAAUUUUAUAUAGAAAGUAAAUAGAGUGAAUACAUAUAUAUUAUGAUCCUGAAUAGAAUUUAAUAAAAGUCUAUGUUAUGGAUUACAACUCCAGAAUAAUGAAAAUUUUGUUUAUGGAUUUAUUAAUUUUACUAUUUUCUGAAGAUUAAUCAUAAUUAAUGGAUUUUUCUUUUCUUAUUCUAAGUUUUGCAUCUUAAUAUAAAUGUAAUUAAAUAAUAAGCACAUGAGUUUACUCUAUGCUACAUAUAAUUUAAUCCAGGUGCAAUCCAACCAAAUUUGGGAAAAUUUUAAAUUGGAUUGUUAAAUGUUUAAUAAAAUUACUUUUAAGAAAAAGAAAAAGAAACAGAAAAUCCCAUUUCAGUAUUUAAGUAAGUAAAUCACUAAAUCUGGAAUACAGAUAUCAAGAAUUGAAAUCCAAUGUACAUAAUCCAAAAAAUAGAGGAAUAAGAUUACACCUCAACCCUCAUUUCACUCUCUAUAUAAACUCACCACUACAAUGUUUCAUUUCACUCACCGUGAAAAGAACACACUCUGCAGUCAGCAAAAAAAAAAAGAAAAAAAGAAAAAAAGAAAGAAAAUUCUGCAUUCUUGAAAAGAAAUGGCCAAUGACAAUGCAGUGAAAGUGGAAAUGCUAGUCAUGUACAAAGAGUGUAUGCACAACCAUGCAGCCUCCACCAGAGGAUUCCUCCUCGAUGGCUGCGGCCUCUUCGAGACCCCUAGCGGCACCACCACCGGGUCCCGCGAGGCCAUGUUCUGUGCUGUCUGCGGCUGCCACCGCAACUUCCACCAGAGAGUCGCAGUUGAAAUUCCGCAACACCACCGCUCCUCCUCCAUCCGCCACCACCACCACCAACAACAGCCCGCCUCGCACCCCGACCAACAACAACAACAACAACAGCCCGCCUCGCACCCCGACCAACAACAACAGCCCGCUUUGCACCCACACCAACCACAACAGCCAGCCUCGCACCCCGACCAACAACAACAGCCCGCCUUGCAUCCCCACCAACCGCAACAGCCCGCCUAGCACCACCACCACCACCGUUUUGGUGGAGGCAGCGGCAGAGGCACCAUGAUCAUUCGCCGCGAACCAGCCUCUGCACCAGGCCGCUUCGCUCCCGAGCAGGCGGCGGCUCGUCGGCAGAGGCGGGCCCUACCUCGACAUACGGAGGGCACUUCUGCUGCACCACAGGAAGUGCCACUUCAGCAUGGGGUGGGUGCCCCCCGCAGAAAGAGAAUAACGAGGGCCCAAAGCGAAAUGGUGAGGGCCUUGACUGAGAGGAACAACAGGAAAAUGUUCCGGGAGUACUCUCAGACUGAGGUUUUACAUAUCCGAUUUCGGAAUCACUACACUGGCGCUCAAAAACGGCAUCUCUCUACAAAGACGAAAAAGAAAAGCUGCAAUAGCUGCAAUAGAUCAACACUAGGGUUUCCGUUUUAGUUUUUUUUUUUUCGGUUCCUAGGUUUAAAGGGAACUAGAAUUUGUCGUGUAAUAGAUGCAUUGUAUGUACUGAGAUAUAUAGAUCUCUGAUUUACAAUUCGUUUUUUUUUUUUUUUUUUUUUAUUGAAGUAAGAGCAUUGGAUCUUAACUUAUUCAUUCAACUGAAAUUAGAUCUUGUCGUUUAUAUCGUUGGAAAAGUUGUAAAAUCCGUUGCAAACGGACAUAAAAUUAAGGUAGGACUAAACGGAAAGUACUUGUAGAGUAGUUAUCCUACGUACUCUCUAAUUCCUAUAAACGGCAAGGCCAUUAGUUUCUUGCCACUUAUGGUAAUAACUAAAUUGAUUGAAUAUUUGCAGACAAAAUUUUCGUGUCUUUUAAGUUCGACGAUACCCAUUAUUUCUUUGUGCAUAUGUCGAACUGAAUAAAACCCUAUUUGAGCUUUGCUGAUAGGGCAACAGUAAAUUUAAGCUUCGUGACAACACGCAUAAAAGGUUGGUAUUUAUAAAAGCUUUGCUCAUUCGUGUGCUUACCGUUACAUUAACCGUACAAGAUUUUUUCGGGAUUUUCUUCGACAUAACUCAUCAGUAAGUUAUUUUGUUUUCUUUCUAAUAGUUGUCUCUAGGCCGUCAUUAACGUAGUGUUCGGAAAUUGACGAGACGACUCUAAAUGACCGGAAAAUGUGUAAUAUUCACUUAGCUAAGAUCUAAGACCGCAUAAUUUAUAACGUGUUCGGGAGAUAACAUGUUAAUUAAUAUCCCCAUGCUAGCAAUCAUAUAACACGGAAGAAAGAAGAAAAAAAUGCUGACUUGAAUCGACGAUAUGGAAAUUCACUUUUAACAAAUCUAUAUUAAAACUGGGAAUAAAAGAUAGAACGAUAAGAAAGCAAACCUGCACAAAUGGGAGCAGUACCAAAUUAAGAACUUCAUCGGGAGCUCGCCUAAAGCAUCUGGCUCAAUAAGCAGUACAAAAUUACGUAACAAAAUCUCGUAGUUAUGAAAGAGCAUAUAUAGAAACCGAUAGAAGUAUGACGACUAAGGUUAAAUUAACUUUUAAUUGGUUAAGAGUACGAAGGUUCAAUUUACGUGCACUACACGUAAUAACCUUGAUAACAGUCAUUAGCAUAUUUACGGCAACUGCACAAUCAAUGAAAACUUAAUCGUGUUGACAAGAUUAAAACAUCUUGGUAUGAGCCAAUUGAUCGGAUGCAAAGUCGAUUAAAAAAUGAAUUUGUAUCCCUGUUCGUUUCAUAUAAAUCAUCGAUAGAUUUCAAUUUAAGCUCUCCCUUCGGUAUAGAUAUUUCCAGCCAACAAAAUCUAAAUAUAGAUACGACGAGAUCACCAACAUAAGAAUUAAGUUUAUCUAACUUUUUCAUUUGAAGCCAAAUAAUUACGAGUUGCAUAAAAAACCGAACUUUCGUCGAUCCAACAACAUGUUCCUAAACUCGAUUCCAGUUAUUAACUAGGCUUUAUACCAGACCGUAAUAGGUGAGCAUAAUUUGCCAUAAUAAUAAUAAAAAUGUCAUAACAAAAUUCAACAUAAAACUCAGAGGGCAUAGGUGGGACAAUAUCACAAUAUUUUUUUUUUCCUUUUUCACACAAAAAUAAUUAAGUAUAUAUAUUAAUAAUAAUUAAAUUAAUAAAGAAAAGGAAAUACGAAAGGAAAAGGAAAGAGAAAAUUACUUCUUGGAGAGGCAAGCCCGAAUAUCGCAACCUUGUUUCUUACAUGGCUCUUUACUCGGCUGUCCCAAUUUACCAAACCCUAAUCCUCAAAAUUCCCCCCUUUUUGUUUCUCUUUCUUCACUACUUCCAGAAUUGAUCGGUGGCGUGCUACUGUUGAGAAAAUGGCAGUCAAAUCGAAUCGUUGAUGCUGGUUUUCUUUCAAUUUCGUCGAUUUCAGAAUGAUGAAUUACAGAGAUGAUUGAUCUGUGACUGUAUGUAUAAUAGUAGUACAAAAUUUAUUUUAUUUAUAAAAUUUUAUAAGUAAAUUAUAAAAUUUAUUUAUUUAUUAUUUUUUUAAUAAUUAUUUAAAUUAAGAGAGAUAUUGUUUUUGCAAUUUAACGCUUAGAUCAAGGGGCAACUAAAACAAAUCCCAAUUUUUUCUCACUUCAGUAUCUCCAAGUUUAAAACCAUUUUUUAUAGAAGUUUUUACAACUUUUUCUUAGUUUAAAACCAUAAAUAAAUAAAAAAUGCUAGCAAAGUACAAAAAUGCCCUUCAUCAACCAUAAUACAAUUUAUACAAACAAUUUUUUUAUUCCUCACUUCAAUACCAAGGAAAAAAAGAAAAACAAAUCCUCUCUUCUUCUCCCCAAACUCAAAUCCCUUAGAGCAUCCACAAUGGGCUCUUUAAAUGUAUUCUUUGUGUCAGAUUUUAGCCAAUCUUUAAAUUUGGAGAGGAAAAGCUCCUGUAGUGGGAAACUUUAUGCCUCUUCAUAACUCCCCAAAUCUUGAGAAAUGCUAACUAACUCCCCACAGAUAGGAGUGCAUUAACAAACAUUGCGGGGUCUGCUUUUGUUUUAUUUAUUUUUUAUUAUUCAAAUUAUUAUCUUUUUUGCUUUUCUUUUUGUUUUUAUUUCACGGUAUGUACAUUAAGGAAAUAAUGUACUAUUUAAUAAUUGUUUAAAUAAAAAUUACUAAUUACUUCCAUUUAUUUAUACUUAAUUAGCCUUAUUGUAAUAAAAAAACAAUUAACUCGUAAAUUUAAUUUUUUUUUAUUAUUUUCAUGAAUAGAUAAUUUUAUCAUUUCUAAAAUAGUAUUCAUCAAAUUAAUAAUCUUAUUUCAACUCAUUUGUAUUUUUUUGGCUAAUUAAUAUUUAUGUUAUUCGUAAAUUUUUUGAAUCUUUUAAAUAUUAUUUAUAUAUUUAUAGAAUUAAAAAAAUAAAUAUAAUUCAUAAUUAAAAAUAUAUAAAUAUAAUUUCAUAAUUAUAUUUUACUAAUUAAAUAUAUUUUACUAAUUAAAUAUAAAAAAUUAAAAAUAUAAUUUCAUAAUUAUUAUAUUAUAAUGAUUUUUUUUUAUUAAUAUUUAAUAUUUAGGAAGCCAUUGUAAGGAUGCACAAAACCACCUAUUGGAGCAUUUUGAAAUUUGGGGAGUUCUUAAGUGGGGUCCAUAGUUUAGAGAGGAGUAAAAAUGCAUAGGUGGCAUGUGGGGUCCACAGGUUAGGGAGGGAUUGUAGGGAGUACCGCUGUGGAUGCUCUUAAACCCUAUCUUCUUCAUCUUCUUAAAUCCUCCAAAACAUCUCCAAAUUCAAAAAAUCAAAACCUCACAAAACUUAUAAAAUGGAGUUAUAAGACAAUAAUAUGGUAGUAUGUAUGGAAAGAGAACCCAUUAAGGUAAGUAUCGAUGUUUUUUUUGAGCCUCGAAGUCGAUUUGGAAUUUUUUUUUGACCCCGUCGGCAAUUUUCGACACAUACAGGUCGAUUUUUUUGUCAAUUUUCGACACCAACGUGUCGAAAAAAAAUAAAAAAAAAAAAAAACACAAAUUUCGACAGGUAUGUGUCGAAAAAAUACUGUUGGUAAACAAUAAUUUUUUUUUUUUACCAAUAGUGUUUUUCGACACUUGCCUGUCGAAAUUGGGAGAAUUUUCAACAUGUAUGUGUCGAAAUUUGUUUUUUUUUUUUUUUGUUUUUUUUUCGACACGUUGGUGUCGAAAAUUGACCAAAUAAUCGACAUGUAUGUGUCGAAAAUUGCCGACGGGGUCAAAAAAAAAACUUCAAAAUCGACUUCGAAGCUCAAAAAAGACAUCGAUACUUACCUUAAUGUGUUCUCCUUUCAUAUAUACUACCAUAUUAUUGUCUUGUAACUCAAUUUUAUAAUUUUUGUGAGGUUUUAAUUUCUUUAGUUUUGAGAUUUUUUAGAAGGGGUUUUGGGGGAGGGAGAAGAAUGAGGUGGAGGAGGUGAGGGGUUUGUGAGUGAGGAGGGAAAUGGUUUUUUAGGGUUUUUGAUUAUUUGGUAUAUAAGAAAGAAAAAUAGUAUUUGUAAUAUUUUUUUGAUUUUAAUUUUCAUUAAGGGUAUUAAAGUAAUUUACAAUUAAUUAUUUAAUUUUUAUUUUUUUAUUAUUCAAGUAAGCAAAAGUUGGGAUUUGAAAUAGUGAUCCCCUUAGAUCAAACGUCGAAGUACACAUUGGGACAAUUUUUCAAAGGGUUACCCCUCGUACUCUGCCUGAGAAUCACUUUACUCCCUCGUACUCUCAAUUUCAUCGAUUUACCCCAUGUACUUGUACAAUUUCUCAAUACAGCCAUUUCCUUCAACUUUUGACAUUUUUUACUCUGACACCGUUUAGUCAACUCUGUAAAUUACGAAAUUGCCACUGCCUACAACGCGUCGUUUCUCCUCCGUUAAUAUUGUCAUUUCUUCUUCUCCCACCACUUCCCCUUCCAAGAUAUCCCCAAAUUGAACCCCUAACUUAGUAAAAAUUAAGACCCUAAAAUUGAUCGAUUCCACCCACUGCAAAAAAAAAAAUAUAUGAAUGUGUGAAACUUUCUCUUUUCUAAUCUCGAUAGUCAAAAUCGAAAAAAAUCAAUAUUUACGUCAAUAUUUUGACUCUUGACCAAAUGGCGUCAGAGUCAAAAUCGAAAAAAGUUGACGGAGAGGAUUGUAUUGAGAAAUUGUACAAGUAUAAGGGGGUAAAUCGACGAAAUUAAGAGUACAAGGGGGUAAAAUGGUUCUUGGACAUAGUACAAUGAGUAAAGUGGAAUUUACCAUUUUUCAAAUAUAUGAGGCAAAUGAUGCAAUUAGGAGUAGAAAUGGGUAAAGUGGAAUUUACCCUAUUAAAAAUACUAACAAUAUAAAUACCCAUUACAAUUUUCAAUUAUUUACUCGUUAAUUGAAAAUUAAUAAUAUUUGAUUUUUUUUAUAUUAUAAUAUUACUGUGAAUUGGUGAAUAAAUAUUUUUAUUCAAACUAUGAUCAAUAUAUAGGUAAAAGUACAAACUUGAUUCACAUUACUAGUGACACUUUUUUUUUUUUUCCAACUUAUUAUUUGGGAUGUGAUCGUCGCCACUUGGAUAUCUUGGGCUUCUCGUUCCACCGGGCGGAGACGAACUGCAAAUUCCCGAACUCUCCACCAUACACACACGAGAAUCUUUAGCAACCAUCGUCAUGCGAUAGAAGCUUGUUUUUUCUAGAAAAAGUAGCAUCCACAUUAAUCUCAAUCGUCCCCAUGGUGAAGGUUUCCAAACCGUUUCCUCAAGCUCAAAUGUCUACUCCCCAUACAAUAUCUGGUUACGACGAUCCCAUAUCUGCCAGUAUACCACCACUGCCACCAAGAACGAUACAACAACAAUUGAUAUCCUAAUCAUGAACAAGAAGUGCAUGCACAACCACGUUGCAUCCGACAUAAGAGGGCAAGAAAUAUAGAUAAUAAUCCCACAUGCCCAACUCUACAUUUAAUAUUCUUUGAUUUCAUGAUUUAAAGUUUUGUGUUCAUUCCAUAUUCGGUAAAUUGAUUGAAUUCAGAUCUAACAAACAACCAAACAAUAGUUUUUUUUACAAAGUUAUAUAUCAAUGUCAUAUACAAUGCACAAAUUUUGCACUAAUGAACUUGGACACAAAAUUAGCACUAAUAAACUUGGCACAAAUCCUGUACUAAAGAAGAAGAAAAAAACAGUCUUAACUGAAUUACAAUAUUAUUAUUCCUCAACAAAUAAAUCAAUCAAAUGCCAUUUUUUCUCACAAGAACCACAUAUACUGAAAGCUCGCUAAAAAACAAGUCUAAUUUCUAGAGCUCGCUCAAAUGUUUCAUCUUAAAGAAAUCUAAAAGCACAAUCAAUUGCACGUAAAAAUUGAAAUUGCGCUCCCAACAUUUAUUUCACUGUCAAUAUAAACUCACCACUCCAUCAUUUCAUUUCACUCACCAUUUAAACUACACAGUCUGCAAUCAAAAAAAGAAAAAAAAAUGCAUUUGUGAAAAGAAAUGGCGACUGACAAUGUAUUGAAAGUGGAAGUGCUAUACAAAGAGUGCAUGCAUCACAACCAUGCAGCUGAUCUCGCGAGGCCAUGCUUUGUGCCGCCUGCAAGGGGUCGACCCGCGACUCGCGCAAAGAGAAUAACGAGGGCCCAAAGCGAAAUGGUCAGGGCCUUGAGUGAGAGGAAUGACUGGAAAAUGUUCUGGGAGUACUCUCAGGCUGAGGUUUUACGUAUUUGUUCCGAUUUCGGAAUAACUAAACUGGCGCUAAAAAAUUGCACUCUCAACACAGCCGGAAAAGAACACCUGCAAUAGAUCAACAAUAGGGUUUUCGGGGUGUUUUCUCUUUGUGUUUUUUCAGUUCCUAGGUUUAAAGGGAAGCUAGCAAAAUUAAGAUAGAGCGGACAGUGCACUAAUAUUGCACAUUGCGCUAAUAUUGCACAGUAUAACUAAAAACAUAUUACUUCUACCAUUCUAAUUUACAUUAUUACAAUUCCUUCUUCGGACUCUUCACAAUCAAGAAACGAAAUCAUUCGUACCAAACACCACUAUCUAGCAGCUUGUUAACCUAGACAGACUACAAGUGUUGUACAAGCAAAAUAUGACGAUCACUACCAAUUAAAAACUAAUUCAAAUUAUCUUGGUUACUCUGUUUGGAGUUAAUAUUAUCACAACUUCGUUCACCUAGAAUUCCCAAAUCGAACUUCCAAUUUAUUUACUCUCGACAUUUCUAGGUUAUUAUAUAUCAGUAUCUCUAACAAAGGAGUUACCAAAAUCAUACGCCAAUGAAUCAUUUCCUAAGAUUCUUUAUACACAAAUAAUAAGUUAAUCUUACAACAUAACCAAUCUAACAAAGUCAGGAGAAUAUCCUUUAUCAUUCUCAUCAACAAUGCCGAAAGCCAAUUAUUUAUCGGUAUCGACUUUGAAUAUCUGCAUAUCGUAAAUCAUAUAUUUACACCAAAUGAAUGAGAAAAUUCAAGUAUACAAUCUUAGUAUAUUUAGUACAGAGGAUCAAGAACUUACUUAUCUUACAUUCUGCCAACAUCUGUAAAAUGAAAUAUUGCUAAACGAGGCAAAAUAUUAUUUAUGAGGCAAAAUAUUAUGUAGUACCCUAAUAAAGAUUUGUUAUUCCAACGAUCAUUUAUUUCUUAUUUUCGUGAUAUUUGUAGGUAAAUAUUAAAAUCAUAAAUUACUGUAAAACAAAAUGUUAAAAUGUCUUCAUGAUUGUGACGUCAUAAUUAAAUGAAAUUAAUAAAAUCUGAUCCUGCAAAGUUAUCUUUGACUGCAAAAUCAAUAUUUAUGCAUUACUAUCAAAACUCAAAUCUGAGUCUGUAAAAUAAUUUUAAAUUAUAAAAUAUAUUCGUUUGAAUAUUAUAUAUAAAGUAAAUAGAGUGAAUGUAUAUAUAAUUAUAUAUUGUGAGUCUAAGUAUAAUUUAAUGAAAAUCUAUGUUAUGGAUUACAACUCGAGAAUAAUGAAAAUCUUGAUUAUGGAUUCAUUAAUUAAUAUUUUUCAAUUUCAUAAUCCACUAUUUUCUAAAAUGGAUUAACCAUAAUCCAAAAUUUACAAAAAUAAGAUUACACCUCAACCCUCACUUCACUCUCUAUAUAAAGUCACCACUCUCCUUCAUUUCAUUUCAUUCAUCAUCUAAAAAAACACAUUCUGCAGUAAAAAAAAAGAAAAAAUCUGCAUUCUUGAAAAGAAAUGGCCAAUGACAAUGCAUUGAAAGUGGAAAUGCUAGUCAUAUACAAAAAGUGUAUGCACAACCAUGCAGCCUCCACCAGAGGAUUCCUCCUCGACGGCUGCGGCCUCUUCGAGGCCCCUAGCGGCACCACCGCCGGGUCCCGCGAGGCCAUGUUCUGUGCCGUCUGCGGCUGCCACCGCAACUUCCACCAGAGAGUCGCGGUGGAAAUUCCACAACACUACCACUCCUCCCGCUCCUCCUCCGCCUCGCAACUCCACCAACAACAACAGCCCGCCUCCCACCCCCACCACCACCACCGUGGUGGCAGAGGCAACAUGAUCAUUUGCCGCGAACCGGCCUCUGCACAGGGCCGCUUCGCUCUCGAGUAGGCGGCGGCUCGUCGGCAGACGCCGGCAGCGAGCCCCGCCCUGACCACCUCUCCGGCCACCAGACAUGUACAGAGCCGAGCCCCACAUCGACAUGCGUCGGGCACCUCUGCACGACAGGGAGUGCCACCUCAGCAUGGGGUGCGUGCUACGCGCGCAAAGAGAAUAACGAGGGCCCAAAGCGAAAUGGUGAGGACCUUGACUGAGAGGAACAACUGGAAAAUGUUCCGGGAGUACUCUCAGGCCGAGGUUUUACGUAUUUGUUCCGAUUUCGGAAUAACUACACUGGCCCUCAAAAACUGCAUCUCUUCUCUACACAGGCGAAGAAGAAAAGCUGC
rnacentral:lncRNA from 1 species